rnacentral:misc_RNA from 1 species
AAAAGCUGGUUAUGUUCAAACACAUGGCUAUAUCUGGAUUCCUCCCACACUGUAGAAAUGCAGCAUGGUUGGCCAUGGAUAAUCCUUCAUCUAGUUGCCAUACAAUUUAUAGGGUUUUCUGCGAGUCUAUUAUAGCUAAUUUUGUAAUCCAACCUAUCCAUGCUUAACAUACCACAGCCUUUUGUUAAUAGUUUGCUAAGAGAACUUUUCUUGUAAGCUUGAUCAUUUGCCACCCAGCCAGAACAUAAAAUCUGUUGUGUGUAUAAUAAAUAUACAGCAGAAUAAAUUUGUGAAAUAAAUGUGGAGUUGAAGAAUA